rnacentral:rRNA from 1 species
UAGAGUUUGAUCCUGGCUCGAGGACGAACGCUGGCGGCGUGCUUAACACAUGCAAGUCGAACGGAAAGGCCAGUGCUUGCACUGGUACUCGAGUGGCGAACGGGUGAGUAACACGUGGGUGAUCUGCCUUGCACUCUGGGAUAAGCUUGGGAAACUGGGUCUAAUACCGGAUAUGAGCCACUUUUAGUGUGGUGGUUGGAAAGUUUUUUCGGUGCAAGAUGAGCUCGCGGCCUAUCAGCUUGUUGGUGGGGUAAUGGCCUACCAAGGCGUCGACGGGUAGCCGGCCUGAGAGGGUGUACGGCCACAUUGGGACUGAGAUACGGCCCAGACUCCUACGGGAGGCAGCAGUGGGGAAUAUUGCACAAUGGGCGGAAGCCUGAUGCAGCGACGCCGCGUGGGGGAUGACGGCCUUCGGGUUGUAAACUCCUUUCGACAGGGACGAAGCGUAAGUGACGGUACCUGUAUAAGAAGCACCGGCUAACUACGUG